AACGUAGGACACAAGCGUUAUCCGGAGUUACUGGGCGUAAAGGGCGUGUAGGUGGUAAUGUAAGUCUGGCGUGAAAUUUUUCGGCUUAACCGGGAAAGGUCGUCGGAGACUGCAUAACUAGAGGACGGUAGAGGCGUGUGGAAUUCCGGGUGUAGUGGUGAAAUGCGUAGAGAUCCGGAGGAACACCAGUGGCGAAGGCGACACGCUGGGCCGUACCUGACACUGAGGCGCGAUAGCAUGGGGAGCAAACAGG
rnacentral:rRNA from 1 species